rnacentral:rRNA from 1 species
UACGGAGGGUGCAAGCGUUAUCCGGAUUCACUGGGUUUAAAGGGUGCGUAGGUGGGCAGGUAAGUCAGUGGUGAAAUCUCUGGGCUUAACCCAGAAACUGCCGUUGAUACUAUCUGUCUUGAAUAUAGUGGAGGUGAGCGGAAUAUGUCAUGUAGCGGUGAAAUGCUUAGAUAUGACAUAGAACACCCAUUGCGAAGGCAGCUCGCUACACUAUCAUUGACACUGAGGCACGAAAGCGUGGGGAGCAAACAGG